rnacentral:lncRNA from 1 species
UAGAUUCUAAAGUAUGGUUGCUAAUUCUUUCUCUCUCAGAGAGUGGUGGUGGAUGUCUUCAUGAGUGGAGUAUGAGUGGAGGUCUUCGCUGGUGGAGUGUGUCUUCGUGAUUCUUGGUGAUGCUCUGGUUGUGAUCUGGUUGAUGUCGUAGUGUGGUGCCUCCAAUGCUUCACCCGGUACCUCCUUUUAUAGUCGCGGCAGAGGCUUCUGGAGUUGCUUCGUGCUUAAGGCUUCUGGUGCCUUCAACUAUUCUCCUCUUCUGUUCCCUGGACACUUGGAUGGCUCUCCGCUCCUCAAUAAUUGUCCUGGAUACAGCAGAGUUGCUGUUUAUUCCUUUUGCCUUGUCCUCCAUGGCGUACUGUCUUCUCGUGAUAUUCCGGAUGCUGCUUGGUAUGGUCUUCCACGCCCGAAUGAUUGACGUCGCAGACUUCAAUCAGAACAUCAUGGCAUGUAGUAUUAUUCUGCCCUGGCCGAAUUGUUGUUAACACCUUAACAACACUGGAGACCUAUUCCCUUGUGUGAUAAAAUAUUCUUUUAUGCGAGCUGUAUUUCUUAUUUUUCUUCUUCAAUAUCUGGUUCCUUGGUUGUAUUGGACGAGGGGAUAAUAUGAUCAAGGGCGAGGGAACCAGCGACUCCGAAAAAUUUCGGAUUUCAAAUUUCGAGUUACUAUUCACAGUACUAUUCAAAUUCGGCGAACACUAUUCAAAUUCGCGGCACUAUUUAAAUUCAGCUCACUAUUCAAAUUCGGGAAUAUGAAUAGUGCCCGAGCACUCACCGGGAGUGGAUGGAGCACCUAUGGGUGGCGGCACUAUUCAGCCACUAUUCACUCACUAUUGCGCGCUAUUGAGCUACUAUUCAGGGUCGCAUUCAGGGGUACGAGCACGCGCGGGUGCGUGAUUAGGUAUAUUCCUUAAUUAAGCCUAUUCUCAAGAUCUUUGCGGGUUGGCGAGACCGAAGAUUCAGCCGGUCGUGCUGCUAUGCUUGUGACAGUCCUACUCGGUACUCACCGCAUGCCUCGCUGGCUCGCUUCAGAACCAGGCCAGCCCGGCCUGCAGCCUCACCGUCCCCAGCCACGCUCACACAGGACUCAGGCUCUACCGUCUCCCCAGGCAGUUCCACCCGAAGGGAACACUUCUCUGCGCACACAGGGUUCUCCUCAAACGCCGCUACACGGGCUAACACGAGAACGACACACGCAGAGGUUUCUCCUCUAGGGUCCCUAGCGUAGAGACAUCGCCCCAUAAGAACGAGCUUAAAGGAAGGCAGGGAUGCUACCAGGACAGCUUAAUCCUUUUCCACGGGACAAGCUUACAUGCGGCUUUCCCUUUCGGGAAACCCCAAGCACUUAGCACAAACCUUGAUUACCUUACAAACCGAGGGACGAGCUCCAACGGCCUCCCUUUAUUCUAGUGGUGGUAGUAUAGAGGUGGAGUAAUAUAGCGGUAGAUUCUAAAGUAUGGUUGCUAAUUCUUUCUCUCUCAGAGAGUGGUGGUGGAUGUCUUCAUGAGUGGAGUAUGAGUGGAGGUCUUCGCUGGUGGAGUGUGUCUUCGUGAUUCUUGGUGAUGCUCUGGUUGUGAUCUGGUUGAUGUCGUAGUGUGGUGCCUCCAAUGCUUCACCCGGGUACCUCCUUUUAUAGUCGCGGCAGAGGCUUCUGGAGUUGCUUCGAGCUCUUCAACUAUUCUUCUCUUCUUUUGCCUGGACACUUGGACGGCUCCCCGCUCCUCAAUAAUUGUCCUGGGUACAGUAGAGUUGCUGUUUAUUCUUUUUGCCUUGUCCUCUAUCGCGCACUGUCUUCUCGUGAUAUUCUGGAUGCUGCUUGGUAUGGUCUUCCACGCCCGAAUGAUUGACGUCGCAGACUUCAAUCAGAACAUCAUGGCAUGUAGUAUUAUUCUGCCCCGGCCGAAUUGUUGUUAACACGUUAACAACACUGGAGACUUAUUUCCUUGUGUGACAAAGUAUUCUUUUGUCCAAGCUGUAUUUCUAUUCUUCUUCUUCAAUAUCCGGUUCCUCUGGUUGCCACAGUUCAUACCAUGACAGUAAUUCACGAUAUUCUUUUCUUAACUGGCAUUCCAUUCCAUAAUUUGGCUUGAGUAGCCUUCCUACUUCUUUUGAUAUUAUACUAUUCCUUUCAUAAUAUUCUCGUAGAAAUAUUUUUGUUAUUUUGUUUUGAUACAUCAUAUGGUACUCAGUAUUGAAUUUAGUAUUUCCUUCUAUUUCUUUUGCUUCAUUGAAAAUUCUCCAAUUAUCAUGAUUAUUUUUGGCACGUAUUUCUUCAUAAUUGUACCAUGUUUCUGAAGACCAUAUUGUAGGGAAUUUAUACGAACCUUUUAUAAUAUAUAUAUCAUGACUUGCUGGUCUUAAUGGUAGUGUAAAUUUUGGUGGGUUAGAAAAGUAUUUUAUUUUAUAUUUUCCUUGGACACACGCCAAUCUUUUACAUGCUUCUUUAAUAGCCUUUCCUAAAUCAGAUUGAUGUAUUUCUUCCAAUGUUCCAUAAAUAUCUCGGACUAACCCGUGAUCAAUAAUAGUUUGUAAAGAAAUAUCUUCUCCUGUAUGCCUUUGUAUGUUUGUAAAAUAUUUUAGGUUUAUAUCAGCCUUAAGUAUUAUAAAUUUAUGAUGAGGCUUAACAAUUAACUUAUCAUCAAGAUGAAGCAAAGGAAAGGUAUUUAUAGUAACUAUUAUUCCCAAAUUCCUUUUUAUACCUUGAUAUAGCCUCAUGAAGUAAUUUUGUAUAUCAUGAAAUGUUUUGUACUGCCUUUCAGCAUAUUUCUUCCAUAUUAGAUCUAUAAUAUCUUGUGUAAAAUAUGCCAGUACUUGUUCAGUCUUAAAACUUAUCCUAGGGAUAAGAAACUCGUGUGGAGUAUUGACUAAAUAUUUAUUAUUUCUUUUAUCAUUUGAAGAGUCCUCCUUCGGACUGAUCUUAUUUUCCUCAUACUUUGUAUUAAAUACAUUCUUGUCACUUUGUUGUUCUAAACAUGAUCUACAUGCCUGUUUUAUACAUAAACUGCAAGUAGCCCUUUUUCCUGGAUCUUGAUAGUAUAUACAAAAUACACAUUUAUAUUAACGUCAUCUCUUUUAUGAUCCCGAAUUAUUUGAUCCAUCAUUUCUAUCUUUAACCCUGCUAGUUCUUCAAUCAAGUUUGUCUCUUCAUCACUCGAUUCAUCUUCUUCAUUAUAUUCAAUUUCAUCUGUUUCUAUUAUUGAAUAUAUAGAUUCAUCAUCCAUUAUAUCAUCAUCACAUACCAGAAUAUUUUCGUUAACACUAUCUAUAAUUAACACCCUUUCUUGCUCUUCUUGCUUAUUAGAAUAUCUCUUCUUAUCUUUAUUAGGACAAGUUUUACUUAAAUGAUCUGGAGAAUUACAAAUAAAGCAUCUACAUGUACUAUCAUAAUUUUUUCUAGGAUUGUAUCUUCUUACAUUUCUCUUGUGAAGAAAAGGAGCUCUAUUAUCUGAUCUUCUUAGGAAAUAUCUUUUCUUUGUCUUUACAUUUCCCUUCUUAUAAUUUUUAGGGUAUUUCUUAUUUCUAUAUUUCUCUUCUCCAUAUGUCAAUGGUAUUUGAACUAUUUUAUUACAAAAGUUGUAAUCUGAUUGCUUCAUUGACCUUUGAGCUUGUAUGCUUGUGCAUAUUUUUCUUAGUUGCUUAAAAACAAAUGUUAUAGCCUGAGAAAUAUUAUAUUUCCCUUCCAUUAGAUUCCUUUUUAUAUUCUUCAAAUAUCAUGGAUCCUAAAGGAUCUGGUAGUUUAUUAAAAUAUCUUUCAACUAUACUCUUAUUAUAGCCUUGCUUAGCAGUUGUGGCGUUAUACAAAUAAUGCUGAGAGAACUCUUUUAUUCCUUUCCAAUUUGUUAAAGUCAAUUUCUCUAUUUCCUUCAAUCUUUCAUUUUGUAAUGCAGUAUAACCUAAUUCUGGAUCUUCAUCUAUAACAAUACUUGAUAUGAUAUUUGCAAAAUUAUAAGGGUUGCUACCAGCUCUUUUUAAUUCUUCAUAAUAAUGAGGAUAAGUUUCUACCCAUUGUUCCCAUAGAACUUUAACUGAUUCUCCUAAGAAUGUUUCUAAAUAUGUAAUCAUAUCUUCUACUCUACUUCCAAUAUUAUGCUGAUUUUGUAUAUAUUUUUGGACUAUUAGGCUUUUCCAUAUGCUUAUAAUAUUUGGCCAAUCAAUAGGAUCGUGUGCUGCUAAAUUUAAUAUUGCACCAUCGCUUCUAUAAUUCUGAAAUUGCACAGUCCUUUCAAACUCUCUUCUUUUUGAACCCACAUGCUUAUAUUGUCCAGGUAUAUAGGUAUAUGUAGGCUCUUCCUUUUCUGGUGGCCAAUUACCUGGUUUUCUAGAUGGUCUAUCCGUUUCUCCUUCAAUUUUUAUAUCUCUCUCUUGUUCUCGUCUUCUUUUAGAUGGACUUGGAUCUAUAUCCAUGGCUUCUAUAGCAGUAUCUUUAUUGUAUAAUUCUUCAUUUCUUAAAGAAAGAAUAUGUGAAUCUGACUUACUAUUAUGUAUUUCAAUUAUAUCUUCAUCCUCUUCUUCAUAACUUUCUAAUAAAAUUUUAUUAUUGAUCUCCCAUUGAUCUUCUUCACUUAUAACAACCUCUUCUUUUUCCUUUACCAUUUCUUUAUUAUUCUCUAAUUCUUUCUGAAUCUUACUAUUUUUAUCACUUACAUGUUGCAAAGUAGGUUCAUGUUUUAUUAUCGGCAUGUUGAUCUUUUUUUUAUUUGACUCUCUUUCUUUCUUAAUUUUAUUAAGUCUAUAUAAUUCUCGUCUGAAAUAUAGCUCUUUUUCUCUAAUAGCAGACCAUUCACAUAUCAUAGAGGUAUUAUAUUCAUCUUGAACUUUACUUAGUUUUUUCUCAUAGUGCUUUAUUUCAUUAUCAAUAUCUAAUUUUUUCAUGAAUUCACAUACACUAUGUCUUCUAGCUUCCCCUAUGUUCGACUCAGAAGUUGAAACUUCUAAAUCAUCUAAACUUCUUUCUUUGUAAUUAACAAACCUGAUACUAGUUUUGCCUUUACUAUUUUCAUAGCUUACAUAAUCUUUAGGUUGUUUUAAAAUCUUCGGUUCUAUUAAAGCACUUAUAUUCCAUUCUUCACCUGCUCUUUCUUCAGAACUAAUUUUUAAAGGACUCAUGAAUUUUAUUCCCUUAGACUGCAUACUUUCUAUUACAUUGUUUACAUUUACCUUGUAUUUAGUUGCACUUCUAUUAGUUAACCUUCCUACAAAUUCUAUACUUACUAAUAAAUUUGUACCUUUAAAGUUUUCAUAGCCUUUGGUCUGAAAACCAAUUGCCAUUUUAUCUAUAAAUUCUUUUAUUGGCAUUAUUAAAUCUGGAGCUAUGUAUGUUAUUAACAUAUUUUCAUUCAUAUCUUCUUCUAGGAAACCCAAUGCUGCUUUAUUCACUGAAUCCCAUCUUUUAUCGAGGGCGAGGGAAUGAGCGACUCCGAAAAAUUUCGGAUUUCAAAUUUCGAGUUACUAUUCAUAGUACUAUUCAAAUUCGGCGAACACUAUUCAAAUUCGCGGCACUAUUUAAAUUCAGCUCACUAUUCAAAUUCGGGAAUAUGAAUAGUGCCCGAGCACUCACCGGGAGUGGAUGGAGCACCUAUGGGUGGCGGCACUAUUCAGCCACUAUUCACUCACUAUUACGCACUAUUGAGCUACUAUUCGGAGUCGCAUUCAGGGGAUACGAGCACGCGCGGGUGCGUGAUUAGGUAUAUUCCUUAAUUAAGUCUAUUCUCAGGAUCUUUACGGGUUGGCGAGACCGAAGAUUCAGCCGAACGUGCUGCUAUGCUUGUGACAGUCCUACUCGGUACUCACCGCAUGCCUCGCUGGCUCGCUUCAGAACCAGGCCAGCCCGGCCUGCAGCCUCACCGUCCCCAGCCACGCUCACACAGGACUCAGGCUCUACCGUCUCCCCACGUAGUUCCACCCGAAGGGAACACUUCUCUGCGCACACAGGGUUCUCCUCAAACGCCGCUACCAGGGCUAACACGAGAACGACACACGCAGAGGUUUCUCCUCUAGGGUCCCUAGCGUAGAGACAUCGCCCCAUAAGAACGAGCUUAAAGGAAGGCAGGGAUGCUACCAGGACAGCUUAAUCCAUUUCCACGGGUCAAGCUUACAUGUGGCUUUCCCUUUCGGGAAACCCCAAGCACUUAGCACAAACCUUGAUUACCUUACAAACCGAGGGACGAGCUCCAACGGCCUCCCUUUAUUCUAGUGGUGGUAGUACAGAGGUGGAGUAAUACAGCGGUAGAUUCUAAAAUAUGGUGGCUAAUUCUAUCUCUCUCAGAGAGUGGUGGUGGAUGUCUUCAUGAGUGGAGUGUGGGUGGAGGUCUUCGCUGGUGGAGUGUGUCUUCGUGAUUCUUGGUGAUGCUCUGGUUGUGAUCUGGUUGAUGUCGUAGUGUGGUUAAGGCUUCUGGUUCCUUCAACUAUUCUCCUCUUCUGUUGCCUGGACACUUGGACGGCUCCCCGCUCCUCAAUAAUUGUCCUGGGUACAGUAGAGUUGUUGUUUAUUCUUUUUGCCUUGUCCUCUAUCGCGCACUGUCUCCUCAUGACGAUCAAGGGUGAGGGAACGAGCGACUCCGAAAAAUUUCGGAAUUCAAAUUUCGAGUUACUAUUCAGAGCACUAUUCAAAUUCGACGAACACUAUUCAAAUUCGCGGCACUAUUUAAAUUCAGCUCACUAUUCAAAUUCGGGAAUAUGAAUAGUGCCCGAGCACUCACCGGGAGUGGGUGGAGCACCUAUGGGUGGCGGCACUAUUCAGUCACUAUUCACUCACUAUUGCGCACUAUUGAGCUACUAUUCGGGGUCGCUUUCAGGGAUACGAGCAUGCGCGGGUGCGUGAUUAGGUAUAUUCCUUAAUUAAGCCUAUUCUCAGGAUCUUUGCGGGUUGGCGAGACCGAAGAUUCAGCCGGUCGUGCUGCUAUGCUUGUGACAGUCCUACUCGGUACUCAACGCAUGCCUGGCCCUGAUACCAGUAUUGGACGAGGGGAUAAUACGAUCAAGGGUGAGGGAACGAGCGACUCCGAAAAAUUUCGGAAUUCAAAUUUCGAGUUACUAUUCACAGCACUAUUCAAAUUCGACGAACACUAUUCAAAUUCGCGGCACUAUUUAAAUUCAGCUCACUAUUCAAAUUCGGGAAUAUGAAUAGUGCCCGAGCACUCACCGGGAGUGGGUGGAGCACCUAUGGGUGGCGGCACUAUUCAGCCACUAUUCACUCACUAUUGCGCACUAUUGAGCUACUAUUCGGGGUCGCUUUCAGGGGAUACGAGCACGCGCGGGUGCGUGAUUAGGUGUAUUCCUUAAUUAAGCCUAUUCUCAGGAUCUUUGCGGGUUGGCGAGACCGAAGAUUCAGCCGGACGUGCUGCUAUGCUUGUGACAGUCCUACUCGGUACUUACCGCAUGCCUCGCUGGCUCGCUUCAGAACCAGGCCAGCCCGGCCUGCAGCCUCACCGUCCCCAGCCACGCUCACACAGGACUCAGGCUCUACCGUCUCCUCAGGCAGUUCCACCCGAAGGGAACACUUCUCUGCGCACACAGGGUUCUCCUCAAACGCCGCUACCAGGGCUAACACGAGAACGACACGCGCAGAGGUUUCUCCUCUAGGGUCCCUAGCGUAGAGACAUCACCCCAUACGAACGAGCUUAAAGGAAGGCAGGGAUGCUGCCAAGAUAGCUUAAUCCAUUUCCACGGGACAAGCUUACAUGCGGCUUUCCCUUUCGGGAAUUCCAAGCACUUAGCACAAACCUUGAUUACCUUACAAACCAAGGGACGAGCUCCAACGACCUCCCUUUAUUCUAGUAGUGGUAGUACAGAGGUGGAGUAAUACAGCGGUAGAUUCUAAAGUAUGGUGGCUAAUUCUUUCUCUCAGAGAGUGGUGGUGGAUGUCUUCAUGAGUGGAGUAUGAGUGGGGGUCUUCGGUGGUGGAGUGUGUCUUCGUGAUUCUUGGUGAUGCUUUGGUUGUGAUCUGGUUGAUGUCGUAGUGUGGUGUCGUGCUGCGGUGGUGGUGCCUCCAAUGCUUCACCCGGUACCUCCUUUUAUAGUCGCGGCAGAGGCUUCUGGAGUUGCUUCGUGCUUAAGGCUUCUGGUGCCUUCAACUAUUCUCCUCUUCUGUUGCCUGGACACUUGGACGGCUCUCCGCUCCUCAAUAAUUGUCCUGGGUACAGUAG